rnacentral:rRNA from 1 species
UACGGAGGGUGCAAGCGUUAACCGGAUUCACUGGGUUUAAAGGGUGCGUAGGUGGGUUGGUAAGUCAGUGGUGAAAUCUCCGGGCUUAACUCGGAAACUGCCGUUGAUACUAUCAAUCUUGAAUAUCGCGUAGGUAAGCGGAAUAUGUCAUGUAGCGGUGAAAUGCUUAGAUAUGACAUAGAACACCAAUUGCGAAGGCAGCUUACUUCACGAUCAUUGACACUGAGGCACGAAAGCGUGGGGAGCAAACAGG